rnacentral:rRNA from 1 species
UGGGGAAUAUUGCACAAUGGAGGGAACUCUGAUGCAGCGACGCCGCGUGAGUGAUGAAGGAAUUCGUUUCGUAAAACUCUGUUCUAUGGGAAGAAAAGGACUGUACCAUAGGAGAAAGCUCCGGCUAAAUACGUGCCAGCAGCCGCGGUAAUACGUAUGGAGCGAGCGUUGUCCGGAAUUAUUGGGCGUAAAGGGUGCGCAGGCGGCUUUACAAGUUGGAUGUGAAAUAUUGUGGCUCAACCACAAACGUGCAUCCAAAACUGCAAAGCUUGAGUUAAGGAGAGGUAAGUGGAAUUCCUGGUGUAGCGGUGGAAUGCGUAGAUAUCAGGAGGAAUACCGGUGGCGAAGGCGACUUACUGGACUUAAACUGAAGCUCAGGCACGAAAGCGUGGGGAGCAAACAGG